rnacentral:lncRNA from 1 species
GUGUGGCCCGGCAAAUACAAUGAAUCAAAAUAGUGCUUGUUUUCACACAUCAAAUUCCUAGCAGUUUUUAAGCCAUAGGACAACUUGUUCUGUCAGAAGAACUGAACAGCUGCAUAAAGUAAACUCCUGAACUUUACUCAUUUUUAAAUAAUAUCCUUAAGGACAACCCACCAAGGACUGCCAACAACACGCCUCAAAACAGACAGAUGUUCUGGACGUAGCACCCAGGUUGCCAACUCAUCAAAUGGAGUGAUCAGUGGAGAUGGUCAAAGGCCUCUGAAGGAAGGUUGGGCUCUAAAUAAAAGAAAACAUCAGAAGACACAAAAAUUGUGGCAAUGUAUUAGUGGAUAUUUCUUGCAUGAGCUUCAGUCUUUCUCAUCUGGAAGCACAAAGAAGUCCCCACAAGAAAUGAACUAUGAAGGUGUGAUGUUCUACAAACACAUUCAGUGCCCUCCACAAGGGAGACAAACUCAGAGAGAAAAAAUGAAAAACAAAAGCAAUGAAAGGUACAGUUUUCACGACUUUAUUAACUGA